rnacentral:rRNA from 1 species
AUGGCGGCCGUGACGUUCGAAGAGGAGGUCUCCAGGCUGGCUGCCCGCGAAGCGGCCAUCUCGCCGGCGCUGGUGAGGACGGCCGUGGGGGCACUGGCACGCAGCAGCGCGGCCCGCGCCGCUGCCGUUGCCCUGUUCCAUCUCUUCGCCGGCACCAUCAGCGUCCUCUUCGCUGCAACAUUCCUCUACCUCGUCGUGUUCCGGGCCUGCGUCGAGAACUGCACCGUGGCCUCGGUAGUUUGGGAGAUCUUGGUUUAUUCUGGUAUGCUCUCCCUGCUACUCAUAGUGCCAGCGAUGGUGCUCUUCUUCCUGCGCGCCGCCGGCAGCGGCAGCGAGGUCAAGGAUGAUGUGGAUGGUUGCGUCCGUUGGUGGCCGCUAAUCUGGCACGCGUCUGUGGCGUUCUUCCACUUGGCGCUCUUGGUGGGACUCAUCGGGCUCGUUCUUCAAAUCUGUGGCGGGUCUCAAGAGGUUUCUUACCUUCUCCGCACUGCGGCUGUGCUGUGCAAGCUCCUACUCACCGUCGCCUUCUCCAUCCGUGCUGCAGUGGCGCUGUGGAGGAUGCAUCCUCAGCAGCCGGCCGCAGUUGGUGCUGUGGUAGUGUGA